UUGAAAGGGAAACGAUUGAAGUCAGUCAUACCAACGGGAAAUCAACCUUUUGAGCUUGGUCUCGUGGGUUUUGGAGAGUUUCAAAGCCUUCGGAUUCGCGGGAUUGGGAUCUCUUGGUGUACUUUUUCGUACGGUUAGUCAACAUCGGUUUUGAAUGUCAUAAAAUGACUGGAGGAAUAUAGCUUCGAUCUCGUAUUGAAGUGUUAUAGCCUUUGGUAGAUGUGAUGUUUGAGACCGAGGAUUGCAACGGAUACCCUUCAGGGCUAUUCGUCUGAUCUCUGAUACGUUGCCUUGAUGUUGAAAGCUUGCUUAUGAUGUUAGGGUAUUACGGUCAAAAGGUUAGAACGAAUUACAUUCGUUAAGGAUGUUGACGUAA
rnacentral:rRNA from 1 species